GCAGAGGCGCGGUCUGUCGCUUGCCGUCAUUAUGUGCGGCAAGAGGAAAGUCCGGGCAACUCAGAGCAGCGUGUUUCCUAACCGGAAGCCGAGGGCGACCUCGGGGAUAAGUGACAGAAAACAACCGCCGUGAUCCGACUGUUGGACACGGUAAGGGUGAAAAGGCGGGGUAAGAGCCCACCGGCCCGGCUGGUGACAACCGGGGCCGCACAUCCCACGUGUUGCAAGGCCAAAUAUACCGGCAGUUAAGGAU
rnacentral:RNase_P_RNA from 1 species